CUUGGUCAUUUAGAGGAAGUAAAAGUCGUAACAAGGUCUCCGUUGGUGAACCAGCGGAGGGAUCAUUACCGAGUUGUAACACUCACAAACCCACUGCAAACGUACCCAUUUUGGCGACUCCGGCAGGCGGCCCCAGGGCGGGGCCUCAGCUUCUUCAGGCGCCUGCCGAAGGUGCCGCAACUUUACUCUGUAAUCAUGUAUUCUGAGUCCUAAGACAAAAUAUCAAAAUUUUCAAUUGUGGAUCUCUUGGUUCUGGCAUCGAUGAAGAACGCAGCGAAAUGCGAUAAGUAAUGUGAAUUGCAGAAUUCAGUGAAUCAUCGAAUCUUUGAACGCACAUUGCGCCCGCCAGUACUCUGGCGGGCAUGCCUGUUCGAGCGUCAUUUCAACCAUCAAGCCCUGCUUGUGUUGGGGUCCUGCGGCUGCCCGCAGGCCCUGAAAACCAGUGGCGGGCUCGCUAGUCACACCGAGCGCAGUAAUACAUCUCGCUUUGGUCGUGCGGCGGGUUCUUGCCGUUAAACACCCCCUUUCCAAAGGUUGACCUCGGAUCAGGUAGGAAUACCCGCUGAACUUAAGCAUAUCAAUAAGCGGAGGA
rnacentral:rRNA from 1 species